AUUGAACGCUGGCGGCGGGCCUAACACAUGCAAGUCGAGCGGAUAAAUAGAGCUUUCUCCUGUAUUCCGCGGCCGACGGGUGAGUAAUUCCUAGGAAUCUGCCUGGUAGUGGGGGAUAACGUCCGUUAACGGGCGCUAAUACCGCAUACGUCCUGAUGGAGAAAGUGGGGGAUCUUCGGACCUCACGCUCUCAGAUGAGCCUAGGUCGUAUUAGCUAGUUGGUUGGGUAAAGGCCUACCAAGGCGACGAUCCGUAACUGAUCUGAGAGGAUGAUCAGCCACACUGGAACUGAGACACGGUCCAGACUCCUACGGGAGGCAGCAGUAGGGAAUAUUCCGCAAUGGGCGAAAGCCUGACGGAGCAACGCCGCGUGAGUGAUGAAGGUCUUCGGAUCGUAAAGCUCUGUUAGCAGGGAAGAACAAAUGUGAAAGUAACUGUGCACAUCUUGACGGUACCUGAUCAGAAAGCCACGGCUAACUACGUG
rnacentral:rRNA from 1 species